CUGUUCUUGAUGAUGAUUGCUGUCUCCUCCAUACAUGAAUUGGGGGUUUUGUAAUUGCAGACGAUCGUUUCUGAAGCUCAGAUUCAAUGGCGGAAUUGGAUUUAAUCUCCCACUCUCUUCCGCCAGUGCAUCGCAGAAAGCCCUAUGCAUCUCCGAGGGCUCUUGCGGGGUCGUGAUGGACGCAUGUCUUUUCUGGACAAAUGUAGACCUUCUUCUUCACCACUUCCUUGUUGCUCCUUUGCUUCAGCUUCCAUGGCAGAUUGUGGCCACGUCUGUGUAGUUGCAGAUUCUGGUCGCGCUGGAAACCCUUGUUGCAGAUUUCGCAGAUGAAUCUGUUGGUCGCCAUUAGAGACUUUGGAGAGAGAGCUAUCACUUCUGCAUCUGGAUCUGCAAAACUCUCACAACAUUAAUUAAAUCAAAAACAAUAAUUGAAUUAGGGUUUCUGGAAUUUGGGAGCUUACCUGGCGUUCCUGGGAGAUUCCUUUUCCUCUUCGACGAUUGAUUUGGGUUAGGGUUUGGAUUGGGAUUAGGGUUUUCUGUAAAACUGCUGAAAUUGGGAUUUAAAUUGGGAUUUGAAUUGGGAUCUUGGAUUAAACCCGACGGGGAAAUUAGGGGAAACCCGUUGUUGGACAUCAUCUUCUUCGAUUGAAUUGAUGAAGAAACAGAUCGAUCGAAUUCGAAGUGCUUGGCUUAAGUUUAUAGCUUAGCAAGAAACUUCUUUAAAAAAAAAAAAAAAAAAAUUAUGGAUUUUGAGGUUUUGUACCUGAAAAUUAACAAAUUGCAGAAGAAGAGAGAAAAGGGAUAGAAAAUGGAGUUAUUACAAGAAGAGGAGACAUCUGGGGUUUCGAUUUCUUGCAUGCUUUUGUUGGAUGAAAGAACUACCAAAUGCCAUGAAUUGUAAUGGAGAAUAUUUUCUUUCUUGUCUAUGUAUUUCUCUCUCUAUUUCUUUCUCUCUCUCUCUCU